rnacentral:lncRNA from 1 species
CAAGGAGCUGUGCAACUCCAUUCCCCCUUCAACGAAGGAAUUAUUGCCCAACCCUGAAGAUGGUAGCCAACCAAGAAUUUCCUACAUUCAGUUCCUUUGGGCCAGGCUCAGUUGCAGGGAGGAAACGUCACUGAGGUUGUGCAUUCACAACCCAUGCAAUAGAAAUCUCAGCUGGAGAAAAGCACAGUGAUCAUGGUUCAGGGAUUUCAGAGACGAGUGUUUGCUUCAUACCAUCAGAAAAAGAGGCCUGCAGCAAUCCUGGAGAGGCUGUCACUCUAAUGUUUAUGGAAAAGUCAGUAGAAGCAGC